rnacentral:rRNA from 1 species
UGGGGAAUAUUGGACAAUGGGCGCAAGCCUGAUCCAGCAAUGCCGCGUGAGUGAUGAAGGCCUUAGGGUUGUAAAGCUCUUUCGCACGCGACGAUGAUGACGGUAGCGUGAGAAGAAGCCCCGGCUAACUUCGUGCCAGCAGCCGCGGUAAUACGAAGGGGGCUAGCGUUGUUCGGAAUUACUGGGCGUAAAGGGCGCGUAGGCGGCCUGUUUAGUCAGAAGUGAAAGCCCCGGGCUCAACCUGGGAAUAGCUUUUGAUACUGGCAGGCUUGAGUUCCGGAGAGGAUGGUGGAAUUCCCAGUGUAGAGGUGAAAUUCGUAGAUAUUGGGAAGAACACCGGUGGCGAAGGCGGCCAUCUGGACGGACACUGACGCUGAGGCGCGAAAGCGUGGGGAGCAAACAGAUUAGAUACCCUGGUAGUCCACGCCGUAAACGAUGAAUGCUNGACGUCGGGGUGCAUGCACUUCGGUGUCGCCGCUAACGCAUUAAGCAUUCCGCCUGGGGAGUACGGCCGCAAGGUUAAAACUC